UUGGCCGCUAGCUUAUUGUCCGCUAGCUUGACUUAGGAUUUGAAUUUUUCCUUUCUACCAAAGGAAGACAAUUCCUAGCCAUAUGAAUGAAGUAGGAAGAUGGUACUCUGUCAGUGAGGACAAAGACAAACACAUGAUGACACAUGCUGAUGAGAAACCUUACAAAUGUGAUGUCUGUGGAGAGGCAUUCAAUAGAACAGGAAUCUUACAGAAACACAUGAGGACACAUACUGGUGAGAAACCUUACAUAUGUGAUGUCUGUGGGAAGGCAUUUAAUAGGACAGAAAUCUUAAAGAGUCACAUGAGAACACAUACUGGUGAGAAACCUUACAUAUGUGAAGUCUGUAGGAAGGCAUUUAGUCAGACAGGACACUUACGGAGACACAUGAUGAUACAUACUGGUGAGAAACCUUACAAAUGUGAAUUCUGUGGAAAGGCAUUUUGUCAUACAGGAAACUUACAGAGACACAUGAGGACACAUACUGGUGAGAAACCUUACAAUUGUGAAGUCUGUGGGAAGGCAUACAAUGACACAGGACACUUACAUACACAUAUGAGGACACAUACUGGUGAGAAACCUUACAAAUGUGAUGUCUGUGGGAAGGCAUUUAAUAGGACAGAAAUCUUAAAGAGUCACAUGAGGACACAUACUGGUGAGAAACCUUACAAAUGUGAUUUCUGUGGGAAGGCGUUCAGCAACAGAGAAAACUUUAAGCAACACGUUAGGACACAUACUGGUGAGAAACGUUACAAAUGUGAAGUCUGUGGGAAGGCAUUUAGUCAGACAGGAAACUUACAGAGACACAUGAGGACACAUACUGGUGAAAAACCUUACAAAUGUGAAGUCUGUAGGAAGGCAUUUAGUGAUACAGGAACCUUACAGAGACACAUGAGGACACAUACUGGUGAGAAACCUUACAUAUGUGAUAUCUGUGGGAAGGCAUUCAUUGACACAGGGCACUUACAUGCACAUAUGAGGACACAUACUGGUGAGAAACCUUACAAAUGUGAUGUCUGUCGGAUGGCAUUCAAUCAGACAGGAGACUUAAAGAGACACAUGAGGACACAUACUGGUGAGAAACCUUACAAAUGUGAUGUCUGUCAGAUGGCAUUCAAUCAGACAGGAGAUUUAAAGAGACACACGAGGACACAUACUGGUGAGAAACCUUACAAAUGUGAUGUCUAUGGGAAGGCGUUCAAUCAGACACAACACUUACAGAAACAUAUGAGGACACAUACUGGUGAGAAACCUUACAAAUGUGAUGUCUGUGGGAAGGCAUUCGCUAGAACUGGAAGCUUACAGAAACACAUGAUGAUGCAUACUGGUGAUUAACCCAGGAAAUGUGAUGUAUGUGGAAGGGCAUUAGAACAGGAGACUUGCAGACACACACGAGGAUACAUACUGCCAUAGCGAAGUUGACCUACAGCACAUCAUCACAGAGAGACCGUGGUACAGUGUAUUAUUUCAGGAACAUUCUUAAUGCCAGAAAUGUGACAUGACGUGAAAAAUGCCUUUCGGGGCUACAAAAUGCUUUACUACACGAUUUUUGAUGCAAUCUGCUGCAUUAUGUUCUUGAAUGAAUUUGACAAGAAUGAAUUGGAAUCAGAAAUAAAAUUACCAGAUGGUUUCCUUGACCAAAGUGAUGAAAGCAAAAUAUCUUGGAUGAAUUACUUGUGCAGCAGAAUAGUUCACAAAUGGUUUUUCGAUAGCAAGAAUGAUAUAUUUUGUGAACUAAGACAUAUUCUAGAGGAUCCAAAUCACCGAGAAAACUACUGGGUAAACACGGAGGAAAAUGGUCGUUUCAAAUGUCAUUUUUGCGAAAAGACAUUUGCUUUUGUAGGAAGUUUGAAAAGACAUUUGCUUUUGUAGGAAGUUUGAAAACGCACGAAUCUGUGAAACACCAGCAUGUUACGAAGACUCCGGGAAAAAAACCACGACUCGUACUAGUAAGGAGGACGAAUUAAUGAACCAUAUGGUUCUUAUAUUCAAACUCAUAGCUUUACUCAAGAACCUUGACACUGCUAUUGAUAUGGCAGAUGGUUGCAGAUCUGUGAGGUCCGCAAAGUAUGAGAUGCCAAUAUUCAAUCGGACAAACAAAGUCAAGUAUGUCAUUGGAUGUGUACAGCUUAUUGACUUGACUGAACACACUUUGAUUGGGCAGCAGAGGGAGCGCUUGAUAGCUAAUCGGACAGUAAAUGUACAGGGUGGAAGCAACAAUAACAUCGCUUUAGAUGAGUAUCUAGAAAUCAUCAACCGAGACAGCAAAAACAUUGUAUCUGGACAUCAGACAAAGGAGAGCAUUAUCAAGCAUUCCAAGCAGUUUCCACAUUUAGUCAAUUACGUGAAGCACUUUGAUAUUGUUUCCGAGAUUAAAGCGCGGAAGGGAUUUCACAAACUCCCAAACUAUAAGACAGAUGUAGCAAAAGUUAUCAAAGAAUUUCUAGAUAUCAAAUGCUUAGUGUUUCAUCCAGAGAGAAAAUUACAUUGUAGAGAUCUCUGUGUGGACAGGGACCCCUUUUACAAUUCGGAAAAAGGGUUAUCAACUAUGAUCCAUAGACACAAACCACUGACUCCCUUCAGUCGAUUGAGGAAUAAAACAUUCUAACAUGUAAAUUGCCUUUGUAAUACAUGUACUAUUACAUGUACAUGUAUUAAUAAAUAAUUGUUGAUGUAGUUUUCAGUUCCAUAUUUGUUCAAGGGAAGUUACUGUUUCUUUUAUGGGCAGUUAAGGUAGCUCACUACACCAAGGCUUGCAAUCUUAUAUGACACUAUGUCACAAGAUGACGAUUUUUUAAAAUCCAAAAUUACAUAUUUUCUGCAUUUUUGGCACAUGUACUUAUUAUAUAUCAUCAUAUCAUUCAUAAUUAAAUCAUUUUGUACUAAUUUGAAAUUUUUUUAAAGGCAUAAUGAGUCCCCUAACACGCUUAAGGGUCUUCAAAACAGGAAACUCAUCUUGGUGAUGUUCUACUAGAAAAACAAAAUAUAAAGAACAUUGUGGUACAAAUUUUGCAGAAUUGCAGCUGAAAUGGAAAUUUUUUAGUAGGACAUUGAAUUUCUUUUCAAUUGAAUUAUCUCUGUAUAAUUGAUUAUCCUUAAUGCUAAGACUAUUGUAUUCAAUAUUUUUGUGUUGAAAAUGGAACUUGUAAGAAAUUCAUUAUCAUUCAAUUCCUAGAUGGACAAAACGGAAGGUAGAUUCCAAUGCUAUUAUUCACUUUUAACGUCUUCCAUCUCCUCCCUCAAACAAUCACUCUCCCUCAAUGUAUUUUAUUAUUUCCUGUAUGAAUGUACUGUAUACUGCAAAAUGUGUUGUCCUUAUUUUGCCCAAUUUGGUCCUCAGGACAGUAGAAGGCUUUCAGUCAUAAUUUUCAACGAUAAAAUGCAAAAAAAAAAGUUAACACAGAUCAAACAAGUUUACAGUAUAUUUACAGAACAUUAACAACUAUUUAAAAUGGUCAAAGACUACAUUCUUCUACAUCACAGGCUUCAAAAGUUUCACAAAUUUCAUUAUCACUGAAGCGGUUGUCAUCAGAAAUAUCAUACUCAUAAUCUACAGUGUCACUUCCACUGGAAAUAUCAGAAUUCACAUAUUCAU